rnacentral:rRNA from 1 species
CCCUUAGAUGUUCUGGGCUGCACGCGCGCUACACUGAUACUUUCAGCGAGUCCACCACCUUGCCUGGGAGGGUGGGGUAACCUCUGGAAAGUGCAUCGUGAUGGGGAUCGAUUAUUGUAAUUAUUAAUCUUCAACGAGGAAUUCCUAGUAAGCAUGUGUCAUCAGCCCGUGCUGAUUACGUCCCUGCCCUUUGUACACACCGCCCGUCGCUCCUACCGAUUGAAUGCUCAGGUGAGCCAUUCGGACUUUCAUCAUGCUGGUUUCCAGUUUUGAUGAAGGAAAGUCUUGCGAACCUUAUCAUUUAGAGGAAGGAGAAGUCGUAACA